CCUUGUUCCACAGUCCUGGGGGCCACCUCCUCCGGAGCAAUUCCGAGGAAACCACAGAGCAUCUCUUCUCUCAGUGAGAAUUCGGCACAGGUGUGAAGGACAGAUGGGUGUGUCAUGGGUGUCUGACAAUCAAAAGACCAGCUUCUUCGCAUAAGGCAGGUCAGGUGACCCCAGUUGGCCAAUCAAGAUGCCUCAUCUGCCUGAGAGAAGUGACUGGACCAGAACUACACACAUGAUUAAAGAGGACCAAUCAGCGUUCCUUUUGGGGAGAUGCUAGGGAGGCUGGGAGACGGAGGAGCUUCUGACAUCAGAAGCUAGAGGAUCACAAAGACCAUCUUUCCCAUCACUUUGAACAAGACUUCCUGGGGUUGAUGCUAAUACAGAGAAGAGCAGAGCUUA